rnacentral:rRNA from 1 species
GACGUAGGGCGCGAGCGUUGUCCGGAUUUAUUGGGCGUAAAGAGCUCGUAGGCGGCUUGUCGCGUCGACUGUGAAAUCCCGCGGCUCAACUUCGGGUCUGCAGUCGAUACGGGCAGGCUAGAGUUCGGUAGAGGAGACUGGAAUUCCUGGUGUAGCGGUGAAAUGCGCAGAUAUCAGGAGGAACACCGGUGGCGAAGGCGGGUCGCUGGGCCGAUACUGACGCUGAGGAGCGAAAGCGUGGGGAGCGAACGGG